rnacentral:rRNA from 1 species
UACGUAGGGUGCAGGCGUUAAUCGGAAUUACUGGGCGUAAAGCGUGCGCAGGCGGUUUUUUAAGUCAGAUGUGAAAGCCCCGGGCUUAACCUGGGAACUGCGUUUGAAACUGGGAGACUUGAGUGUGGCAGAGGGGGGUGGAAUUCCACGUGUAGCAGUGAAAUGCGUAGAUAUGUGGAGGAACACCGAUGGCGAAGGCAGCCCCCUGGGUUAACACUGACGCUCAUGCGCGAAAGCGUGGGGAGCAAACAGG